UACGGGGGGGGCAAGCGUUGUUCGGAAUUACUGGGCGUAAAGAGCGUGUAGGCGGCCAGAUAAGUCCGCUGUGAAAUCUCGAGGCUCAACUUCGAGCUGUCGGUGGAAACUGUCUGGCUAGAGUCCGGAAGAGGAGAAUGGAAUUCCUGGUGUAGCGGUGAAAUGCGCAGAUAUCAGGAAGAACACCCGUGGCGAAGGCGGUUCUCUGGGACGGUACUGACGCUGAGACGCGAAAGCGUGGGGAGCGAACAGG
rnacentral:rRNA from 1 species